rnacentral:rRNA from 1 species
UCCGGCAGGAGUUGCGUAUUCGGGGUUGUGGGACUUUUCGUGUUGUUCUGCCGAACAGCAAGCGUUACAAGAAGGUAUAGACGAAUGGCAUUGAAAGGCCAGUCAUAGAGGGUGCCAACCCCGUAGUCGAAAUGCCUCACUUGGCGCGAGAAGUAUCCCAAGUAGCACGGGGCCCGAGAAAUCCCGUGUGAAUCUGUCAGGACCACCUGAUAAGCCUAAAUACUCCCAGAUGACCGAUAGCGGACAAGUACCGUGAGGGAAAGGUGAAAAGUACCCCGGGAGGGGAGUGAAAUAGUACCUGAAACCGUUUGCUUACAAACCGUUGGAGCAGCCCUAGCAGCUGUGACAGCGUGCCUUUUGAAGAAUGAGCCUGCGAGUUAGCGAUACGUGGCGAGGUUAACCCGUGAGGGGUAGCCGUAGCGAAAGCGAGUCUGAAUAGGGCGAUUCAGUCGCGUGUCCUAGACCCGAAGCGAAGUGAUCUAUCCAUGGCCAGGCUGAAGCGACGGUAAGACGUCGUGGAGGGCCGAACCCACUUAGGUUGAAAACUGAGGGGAUGAGCUGUGGAUAGGGGUGAAAGGCCAAUCAAACUUCGUGAUAGCUGGUUCUCUCCGAAAUGCAUUUAGGUGCAGCGUUGCGUGUUUCUUGCCGGAGGUAGAGCUACUGGAUGGCCGAUGGGCCCUACAAGGUUACUGACGUCAGCCAAACUCCGAAUGCCGGUAAGUGAGAGCGCAGCAGUGAGACUGUGGGGGAUAAGCUUCAUAGUCGAGAGGGAAACAACCCAGACCACCAACUAAGGUCCCAAAGCGCGUGCUAAGUGGGAAAGGAUGUGGAGUUGCUCAGACAACCAGGAGGUUGGCUUAGAAGCAGCCACCCUUGAAAGAGUGCGUAAUAGCUCACUGGUCAAGUGAUUCCGCGCCGACAAUGUAACGGGGCUCAAGCACGCCACCGAAGUUGUGGCAUUGACAUUAGUGGUAGGCCUUCGUGGUCCAGCCGUGUUGAUGGGUAGGAGAGCGUCGUGUCGCGAGUGAAGCGGCGGGGUAACCCAGCCGUGGACGCGACACGAGUGAGAAUGCAGGCAUGAGUAGCGAAAGACGUGUGAGAAACACGUCCUCCGAAAGACCAAGGGUUCCAGGGUCAAGCUAAUCUUCCCUGGGUAAGUCGGGACCUAAGGCGAGGCCGACAGGCGUAGUCGAUGGACAACGGGUUGAUAUUCCCGUACCGGCGAAGAACCGCCCCAAUCAAUCCAGUGGUGCUAAAUGCCCGAAUCCUCAUACUCAAUCCUUCGGGAAGCGGUGUGAGGGCUAGCGCAUGACCCCAUGCUGGUGCGGUUAGCGUAUUAACAGGUGUGACGCAGGAAGGUAGCCCAAGCCAGGCGAUGGUAGUCCUGGUGCAAGUGCGUAGGCUGAGUGAUAGGCAAAUCCGUCACUCGUUCGGCUGAGACACGAUGCGGAUAAAAAGUGGGUGAUCCUAUGCUGCCAAGAAAAGCAUCGACGCGAGGUUCAAGCCGCCCGUACCCCAAACCGACUCAGGUGGUCAGGUAGAGAAUACCAAGGAGAUCGAGAGAAUCGUGGUUAAGGAACUCGGCAAAAUGCCCCCGUAACUUCGGGAGAAGGGGGGCCUUCGACGUAUUAGGACUUGCUCCGAAAGCGUUUGGAGGCCGCAGAGACUAGUGGGUAGCGACUGUUUACUAAAAACACAGGUCCGUGCCAAGUCGCAAGACGAUGUAUACGGACUGACGCCUGCCCGGUGCUGGAAGGUUAAGAGGAAGGGUUAGCGUAAGCGAAGCUCAGAAUUUAAGCCCCAGUAAACGGCGGUGGUAACUAUAACCAUCCUAAGGUAGCGAAAUUCCUUGUCGGGUAAGUUCCGACCUGCACGAAUGGCGUAACGACUUCCCAACUGUCUCAACCGCGAACUCGGCGAAAUUGCAUUACGAGUAAAGAUGCUCGUUACGCGCAGCAGGACGGAAAGACCCCGUGACCUUUACUACAGCUUGGUAUUGGUGUUCGGUGUGGCUUGUGUAGGAUAGGUGGGAGACUUUGAAGC